rnacentral:rRNA from 1 species
UACGUAGGGGGCAAGCGUUGUCCGGAUUUAUUGGGCGUAAAGAGCUCGUAGGCGGUUUGGUAAGUCAGGUGUGAAAUCUCCACGCUCAACGUGGAGGGGCCACCUGAUACUGCCAUGACUGGAGUCCGGUAGAGGAGUGUGGAAUUCCCGGUGUAGCGGUGAAAUGCGCAGAUAUCGGGAGGAACACCUGAGGCGAAGGCGGGCUACUGGGCCGAUACUGACGCUGAUGCGCGAAAGCCAGGGGAGCGAACGGG